rnacentral:rRNA from 1 species
CCUACGGGGGGCAGCAGUGAGGAAUAUUGGUCAAUGGGCGCGAGCCUGAACCAGCCAAGUAGCGUGAAGGAUGACUGCCCUACGGGUUGUAAACUUCUUUUAUAAAGGAAUAAAGUGAGGCACGUGUGCCUCUUUGUAUGUACUUUAUGAAUAAGGAUCGGCUAACUCCGUGCCAGCAGCCGUGGUAAUACGGAGGCGCCGAGCGUUAUCGGGAUUUAUUGGGGUUAAAGGGAGCGUAGAUGGGUUGUUAAGUCAGUUGUGAAAGUUUGCGGCUCAACCGUAAGAUUGCAAUUGAUACUGGCAGUCUUGAGUACAGUUGAGGUAGGCGGAAUUCGUGGGGUAGCAGUGAAAUGCUUAGAUAUCGCGAAGAACUCCGGUUGCGAAGGCAGCUUACUAAACUGCCACUGACAUUGAUGCACGAAGGUGAGGGUAUCGAACGGGAUUAGAUACCCUGGUAGUC